rnacentral:rRNA from 1 species
UACGUAGGGUGCAAGCGUUAAUCGGAAUUACUGGGCGUAAAGCGUGCGCAGGCGGCUUUGCAAGACAGAUGUGAAAUCCCCGGGCUCAACCUGGGAACUGCAUUGUGACUGCAUGGCUGGAGUGCGGCAGAGGGGGAUGGAAUUCCGCGUGUAGCAGUGAAAUGCGUAGAUAUGCGGAGGAACACCAGUGGCGAAGGCGACUUCCUGGCCUGUUCCUUGACGCUGAGGCGCGAAAGCUAGGGUAGCAAAACGGG